UACGGAGGGAGGAAGCGUUGUUCGGAAUCACUGGGCGUAAAGGGCGUGUAGGCGGUCUUGCAAGUCGGGCGUUAAAUCCUUCGGCUCAACCGAAGAUCUGCACCCGAUACUGCAAGGCUUGAGUGCAGGAGAGGAGAGUGGAAUUCCUGGUGUAGCGGUGAAAUGCGUAGAUAUCAGGAAGAACACCAGUGGCGAAGGCGGCUCUCUGGCCUGUCACUGACGCUGAGGCGCGAAAGCUAGGGGAGCAAACAGG
rnacentral:rRNA from 1 species